ACUAGAGCUGAGGAGCAUUGCAAACAUAGAAGGAAAAAGCAACAACAUCACAUUAACGAACAAAGUCAUGCAGUUCUGUACGGUUAAUUUUACAAAAAUUAAGACGGCAUACUUUGCUUUCAAUGGAAAACUGCAGUGGAGUAUAGAAUUGCUUACAGUCAUUUGAUUCAAGAUAUCCAAAUCACAAGCUUUAAAUAAGGAAUUAAAAAUAGGCAAUGGAACUUACCAGUAUGUAUGAGCUUCAAGGAAAAGCAUACAUACUUAAGAAAAAACAGGUUGAUUAUUCUUUAACCACUCAACUUCAGGAGAAGGAUCCCCAGAAACUUCACAGGUGAACAACACAUCUUGUCCUUCAUUGACGUUUUGAGACUUGGGCUGCACGAUGAAUGUUGGCUCACUGGAAUGCUCUUUGGAAAGGGUCAUAACAUACUGGCACUUAAUAAUGCCCUCAUCAGUUUUACCCUCACAGGUGGCUUCCAUGAGACAACACAAGAAUCCUUUGUGACAGCACUUGCUACUGGCUGGCCGGG